GAUGAACGCUGGCGGCGUGCCUAAUACAUGCAAGUCGAGCGAACAGAUGAGGAGCUUGCUCCUCUGACGUUAGCGGCGGACGGGUGAGUAACACGUGGAUAACCUACCUAUAAGACUGGGAUAACUUCGGGAAACCGGAGCUAAUACCGGAUAAUAUAUUGAACCGCAUGGUUCAAUAGUGAAAGACGGUUUUGCUGUCACUUAUAGAUGGAUCCGCGCCGCAUUAGCUAGUUGGUAAGGUAACGGCUUACCAAGGCAACGAUGCGUAGCCGACCUGAGAGGGUGAUCGGCCACACGGGAACUGAGACACGGUCCAGACUCCGACGGGAGGCAGCAGUAGGGAAUCUUCCGCAAUGGGCGAAAGCCUGACGGAGCGACGCCGCGUGAGUGAUGAAGGGCUUCGGAUCGUAAACUCUGUUAUUAGGGAAGAACAAAUGUGUAAGUAACUAUGCACGUCUUGACGGUACCUAAUCAGAAAGCCACGGCUAACUACGUG
rnacentral:rRNA from 1 species